rnacentral:rRNA from 1 species
AUUGAACGCUGGCGGCAUGCUUUACACAUGCAAGUCGAACGGUAACAGGCUUUCGGGUGCUUACGAGUGGCGAACGGGGGAGUAAUGCAUCGGAACGUACCCAGAGGUGCGGGAUAAUGCGGCGAAAGCUGUGCUAAUACCGCAUGAGACCUGAGGAUGAAAGCGGGGGACCGCGCAGGAAUUUUUGGCCUUGCGCGUUUGGAGGGGCCGAUGUCGGAUUAGCUAGUUGGUGGGGUAAAGGCCCACCAAGGCGACGAUCCGUAGCUGGUCUGAGAGGACGACCAGCCACACUGGGACUGAGACACGGCCCAGACUCCUACGGGAGGCAGCAGUGGGGAAUUUUGGACAAUGGGCGCAAGCCUGAUCCAGCCAUGCCGCGUGCGGGAAGAAGGCCUUCGGGUUGUAAAGCGCUUUUGGCGGGAAAGAAACGGUGUCCGCUAAUACCGGGCGCUAAUGACGGUACCUACAGAAUAAGCACCGGCUAACUACGUG